UAAGGUGUGAUCCUCAUGUUUCCAAGUUUAUGGACAAGAUGGGGAGACGGGCAAGUAAGUAGACUUGGGAUUGGGGGGAAAGGGGCUGAGAUCAUGUGACCAGUGACCGUAGGAGGCACCGAGACUUUGGGGGAGCUUCUAGAAAGAUGUCACCUGUGUUGGAAAUUCUGUCAGAUGAGAGGAGUUAGCCUGGUGAUAAAAGAGAAAAGGAGGAGCCUGGAAUGAAAUCCAGCUGAGGUGGCUGGGUACAGAGGCACACAGUGGGAAGAGCUGGCAUGUGUGAGCCCCAGCAGCAAGUCAUCUGUGGCUCAUGCCCACGUGAGGGUGGCCAGAAGGCAGCGGGGAGUAACUGGAGAGCCUUGUCCCUGCGGAGAUUUGCUCUUAGAGGGCCCUUGAAGAGUUUAAUCUGCAAGGUCAUUUGUGAGAUUUGUGUUCUCACAUUACUCCUGCUGCAGAGCGGAUUUGUUGGGAGCCGGCAGUCCAGAAGCAGGGAGGUUCAGAAAUGAAGCCCUUGCAGCAGUGCAGGAGGGCGAUGAUCCUGGUCCAGGAGGCUCCUGAACUUUUCUUCCACUCCUUAGGGGGUAGGACCCCCAAAAGGUUCAAGGGGAUUACACAAAUCCAAGAUGGCUAAGCCACCACACGGCGCUAUGGAAACGAGCACCCAGCUCUCUUUGCCCCUCCUUCCAGCUGAGCAAUAACAACACGAAGGCCAAGGCCGACUUUUCUGGCAAGGCAUGUCAAGCUAAUUCGAGAGCAAGUGUACAACGCGAUUUGACCUUCGGAUUGCAGAGGAAGAAGCCAGAUUCAUUACAAGAACAAAUUUCAGGGGCAAAUCUGGUCUUUACCAGACCAUCACUGGGCACAGGGAGUGUUACAGGGUCUGCAUGUGAUAAAAAUAUACAUUCAGAAAAUGUUAUAUGUGCACUUCAGCAGAUAAUUUGCAUAAUGCUUGACCACAGCUUCUAUACAUUAAAAAAGUUUUACAUUUCUAACA